GAGUGCUUUUUUCUUCUCUGUCUUUGCAGGAUUCGGCGUUGCCCCGAGCACGGCAAGGAGCAGAGAUGAGCAGGUCUCUGAUGCCUAUUUUCUGAGGAUCUACCGUUUUAUGUUGAGAAGCAGCAGUGAGAAGAUAUCUCAGGGCAUUUUGUUUAGCAGAGUGUUUCAAAUAAGGGUUGCGGUCACUGUGCGAGUUAGUCUCCUGCUGCGUGUCAGAGUGUGUCUGUCUGUGAGAGUCGGUGGGUCAGGGUCUGCUUGUGUGCAUGUGUGUCGAGUGGUUCUAACCUUGUAUGUAUGGCUUUUGCUUUUCAGGACUUGCAAUUCACUUUUAAAUUUAGAAUAAAAAAUCCCCAGCUGGGGGGUUUUUUUUUUUUCCCUCCCAGCUGGGGUUUUUUUUCCUCGGUCCCGGCCGGUCUGCGAGGCAACAGUCAUCGCCAAAGUUUGGGCACGGACCGGCCCCGGACCGAGGUUUUCGUCAGGCAGGCUGAGUUUGAGGCCCCCCGGGAACCGAGUUCCCGUGGGGUAGGAGGGGGGGUGUGUGUUUGUGUCGAGUGGUUCUAACCUGGUAUGUAUGGCUUUUGCUUUUCAGGACUUGCAAUUCACUUUUAAAUUUAGAAUAAAAAAUCCCCAGCUGGGGGGGUUUUUUUUUUUUCCCUCCCAGCUGGGGUUUUUUUUCCUCGGUCCCGGCCGGUCUGCGAGGCGACAGUCAUCGCCAAAGUUUGGGCACGGACUGGCCCCGGACCGAGGUUUUCGUCAGGCAGGCUGAAUUGGAGGCCCCCCGGGAACCGAGUUCCCGUGGGGAAGGAGGGGGGUGUGUGUUUGUGUCGAGUGGUUCUAACCUGGUAUGUAUGGCUUUUGCUUUUCAGGACUUGCAAUUCACUUUUAAAUUUAGAAUAAAAAAUCCCCAGCUGGGGGGGUUUUUUUUUUUCCCUCCCAGCUGGGGUUUUUUUUCCUCGGUCCCGGCCGGUCUGCGAGGCGACAGUCAUCGCCAAAGUUUGGGCACGGACCGGCCCCGGACCGAGGUUUUCGUCAGGCAGGCUGGUUUUCAGGCUCCCGGGAACCACGUUCCCGAGGACCACCGACAGCAGGAUUAUAACGGGGCGGUGGAGAGGAGAGUGAAGGUGAGUACGUGUGCGAGCUGAAGCCGGCUUCUGUGGUGAAUGAGUAUUGUGUUUUCUGUGUGCUCCUUGUGGUUUGGCAUAGCAGUAAUAAUGAAACAGCAUGUAUUGACCUUUCCAGAACUGUAGAAAUAGUUAUAUUCUGUUAAUAUGUAUUUGGCUUGUAUUGUUCUGUAUUUGCAUUUGCUGCAUUACUCUGUAUGUGAAUUAGGGAUUUUUCAGUGUGUACAUGGAUUGUAUUGUAAUGCAUUUGUCUCCAGUUUCUCUGUGUUUUGCUGUAGUGUAAAUAAAUUCAUUAAAUAAAGGUGAAUAAACUUUCAUCCCCCUUGCCCCCCUACCACCA